ensembl:lncRNA
GGACGGGUCCCUCAAAUCACGGGGCCCGGAAGUAGAUAUCCUCGUUCACUCCAAUACAAGUGGGGAGCAGGAAUGUGUCUCCGCAAAAAAUGUGUGGAUAUCAAUCAAAGGUAUUCAAGCCAUGCACCUGAAAUCAAUUGGAUAUACCACAUUCAGAAGGAAUGCACAGACUUAUUUGGAGCCAGCAGUGAUCCACAAAUGGCAUCAGCUUCAGGAAGAGGAAUUGCAGUUUCUGAGCCAGAGAAAGGUUAAAAUUGGCGAAAAUAUAUGAGGGCAGACUCACCAGGCACCAAAGCCCUCUAUAAAGUGGAAAAAAUCCUUACAAACAAGAGGGUCCUGGCUGAUGUGGAAAAGCUGAGCUCAAAGUACCAGACCUCAACACUGAAAGCUUUCCACAGUGUUAUUUUGCGUUUUACUCAAUUUCCCAAAAGCAAAAAAAGGAGCGUCUUCGGUGAAAGCAGUAAAAACACAACCGACACACUUAGUUGCUAUAUCUUCAGCCUGAUGCAUCUCCUCUUUGAAAAGGUAGUCCCUAACCCCCUGCCCUACUUGGAGGAACGUCCGAAGAUUCCUGUGCCCAGUUCCCUAUUGUCCCAACACGAACAUCCACCCUUAGAAGACGCUAUUGCGGCCUAUGUAUCUCGCUUUAGAGUGGAGGAGGUUUAAAUCCAACAUAUUGGCCUUCUGCAUCAGGGAACUCCCUGCGUAUGUGUUGGACCACACAAGAGGAGGGGAUGACAACACGUAUCUUCCUGCCAAGAUAUCCCCAGCACCAGCUUACAAAUGGAAUAGAGGAGAUGAAUCCUCGUCCGGGAGCCCGAUGAGCACGGCUGGUUAGAACAGGGAGAGAUGUGUGCAGAUGGUGUACUUCAAAGGAGCCCUGUGCCAAAGUGCAGCGACUGCUGUGGCUCCGGCACAACGUCUCAGCAGUUGAACAUCUAAACUAUAAUGCAUCCGGGUUAUAUUUGUCUCAAUCAUGUCGGUUUUUUGCCAACGUGCCGGCCCCAACUUUGUUUUUUAUUUUUUUAUUUCGGAUAUAGA